rnacentral:tRNA from 1 species
UCCCAGGUGGCUCAGCGGUGAAGAAUCUGCCUGCAAUGCAGAAGACUCGGGUUUGAUCCUUGGUUUGGGAA